rnacentral:tRNA from 1 species
GGGAAGCAUCGGAGAGGAUCUUCUCGGAGCUGCCGGCUCCGGUGCGGCCGGUGCCGGACCCCUUGAACGAGUGGUCACGAACGCUCAGCCUCCCUC